GCGGGCGUAGCUCAGUGGUAGAGCUUCUGCCUUCCAAGCAGAAUGUCGUGGGUUCGAAUCCCAUCGCCCGCUCCA
rnacentral:tRNA from 2 species